rnacentral:rRNA from 1 species
UACGUAGGGGGCUAGCGUUAUCCGGAAUUACUGGGCGUAAAGGGUGCGUAGGUGGUUUCUUAAGUCAGAGGUGAAAGGCUACGGCUCAACCGUAGUAAGCCUUUGAAACUGGGGAACUUGAGUGCAGGAGAGGAGAGUGGAAUUCCUAGUGUAGCGGUGAAAUGCGUAGAUAUUAGGAGGAACACCAGUUGCGAAGGCGGCUCUCUGGACUGUAACUGACACUGAGGCACGAAAGCGUGGAUAUCGAACAGG